GAAUCAAUUGGUUGCAAGAACCUUCAACAAGAUGAAUUAUUAAAAUCAAUUAUGCUUGGAAUGAAUUUGGCACAAAUACUAUGAUGAAGUUUUGAUUUCACUAAAGAUAAUGGCUCACCUUAAUCAAAUCAUUAGAUGAUAGUGAAGAUGAUCAGGAUUAUGUAGUAAUGGUUUUAGGCAACAAUGAUCUAUCAUAAUUAUAGAAAUGAUCUCAGAAUUGAAUCAUAAAAUUUAAAUCCGAGA
rnacentral:lncRNA from 1 species